AUUGAACGCUGGCGGCAGGCCUAACACAUGCAAGUCGAACGAGUGGCGGACGGGUGAGUAACGUCUGGGAAACUGCCUGAUGGAGGGGGAUAACUACUGGAAACGGUAGCUAAUACCGCAUACCAUCGGAUGUGCCCAGAUGGGCUUAGCUAGUAGGUGGGGUAAAGGAUCACCUAGGCGACGAUCCCUAGCUGGUCUGAGAGGAUGACCAGCCACACUGGAACUGAGCCACGUUCCAGCCUCCUACGGGAGGCAGCAGUGGGGAAUAUUGCACAAUGGGCGCAAGCCUUAUGCAGCCAUGCAGCGUGUAUGACGAAGGCCUUCGGGUUGUAAAGUACUUUCAGCGGGGAGGCGUUACCCGCAGAAGAAGCACCGGCUAACUCCGGGCCAGCAGCCGCGGUCAUUC
rnacentral:rRNA from 1 species